GCCCUUAUAGCUCAGUGGUAGAGCGUUAGUCUUGUAAACUAAAGGUCCGUUGUUCAAUCCAGCGUGGGGGCA